rnacentral:rRNA from 1 species
GACGGACGCUGGCGGCGUGCUUAACACAUGCAAGUCGAACGAUGAAGCUGGAGCUUGCUCCGGUGGAUUAGUGGCGAACGGGUGAGUAACACGUGAGCAAUCUGCCCUUGACUCUGGGAUAACUGCGGGAAACUGUAGCUAAUACCGGAUAUGAAGCCUUGGGGCAUCCCAGGGCUUGGAAAGAAUUUCGGUCAAGGAUGAGCUCGCGGCCUAUCAGCUAGUUGGUGAGGUAACGGCUCACCAAGGCGAC